rnacentral:rRNA from 1 species
UACGUAGGGUGCGAGCGUUAAUCGGAAUUACUGGGCGUAAAGCGUGCGCAGGCGGUUGUACAAGACAGGUGUGAAAUCCCCGGGCUUAACCUGGGAACUGCACUUGUGACUGUAUGACUGGAGUACGGCAGAGGGGGAUGGAAUUCCGCGUGUAGCAGUGAAAUGCGUAGAUAUGCGGAGGAACACCGAUGGCGAAGGCAAUCCCCUGGGCCUGUACUGACGCUCAUGCACGAAAGCGUGGGGAGCAAACAGG